CCCCUAGAUGUUCUGGGCCGCACGCGCGCUACACUGACCAGUGCAACAAGCAUCCGUCCUUGGCCGACAGGCUCGGGCAAUCUUUGAACGCUGGUCGUGAUGGGGAUAGACUUUUGCAAUUUUUGGUCUUCAACGAGGAAUUCCUAGUAAACGCAAGUCAUCAACUUGCAUUGAUUACGUCCCUGCCCUUUGUACACACCGCCCGUCGCACCUACCGAUUGAAUGGUCCGGUGAAGCCUCCGGAUUGGCGCGCACCCCGGUGCCGCCGAGAAGUUGGCUAAACCUUACCAUUUAGAGGAAGGUGAAGUCGUAACA
rnacentral:rRNA from 1 species